rnacentral:rRNA from 1 species
CAGUCGCCGCGGUAAAACGAAGGGGGCUAGCGUUGUUCGGAUUUACUGGGCGUAAAGCGCACGUAGGCGGACUUUUAAGUCAGGGGUGAAAUCCCGGGGCUCAACCCCGGAACUGCCUUUGAUACUGGAAGUCUUGAGUAUGGUAGAGGUGAGUGGAAUUCCGAGUGUAGAGGUGAAAUUCGUAGAUAUUCGGAGGAACACCAGUGGCGAAGGCGGCUCACUGGACCAUUACUGACGCUGAGGUGCGAAAGCGUGGGGAGCAAACAGGAUUAGAUACCCGCGUAGUCCCUGUCUCUUAUAC